AACGAACGCUGGCGGCAUGCCUAACACAUGCAAGUCGAACGAGAACUUCGGGUCUAGUGGCGCACGGGUGCGUAACGCGUGGGAACCUGCCCUUAGGUUCGGAAUAACUCCCCGAAAGGGGUGCUAAUACCGGAUAAUGUCUUCGGACCAAAGAUUUAUUGCCUUUGGAUGGGCCAGAGUUGGAUUAGGUAGUUGGUAGGGUAAAAGCCUACCAAGGGGACGAUCCAUAGCUGGGCAGAGAGGAUGAUUAGCCACUCUGGGACUGAGACGCGGCCCAGACUCCUACGGGAGGCGGCAGUGGGGAAUAUUGGACAAUGGGCGAAGGCCUGAUCCAGCAAUGCCGGGUGAGUGAUGAAGGCCUUAGGGUUGUAAAGCUCUUUUAACCGGGAUGAUAAUGACAGUACCGGGAGAAUAAGCUCCGGCUAACUCCGUG
rnacentral:rRNA from 1 species